GUGUCAGCAGCCGCGGUAAUACAGAGGGUGCGAGCGUUGUCCGGAAUCACUGGGCGUAAAGGGCGCGUAGGCGGUCUGGUAAGCGUGUGGUGAAAGCUCGGGGCUCAACCCCGAGUCGGCCAUGCGAACUGCUGGACUGGAGCAUGUCAGAGGCAGGCGGAAUUCCGGGUGUAGCGGUGGAAUGCGUAGAGAUCCGGAAGAACACCGGUGGCGAAGGCGGCCUGCUGGGACAUUGCUGACGCUGAGGCGCGACAGCGUGGGGAGCAAACAGGAUUAGAUACCCUGGUAGUCC
rnacentral:rRNA from 1 species